rnacentral:rRNA from 1 species
UGGGGAAUAUUGCACAAUGGAGGAAACUCUGAUGCAGCGACGCCGCGUGAGGGAUGACGGUCUUCGGAUUGUAAACCUCUGUCUUAGGGGAAGAAUCUCGACGGUACCCUAGGAGGAAGCCACGGCUAACUACGUGCCAGCAGCCGCGGUAAUACGUAGGUGGCUAGCGUUGUCCGGAUUUACUGGGUGUAAAGGGAGUGUAGGCGGGUACUUAAGUCGAUUGUUAAAUCUCACGGCUCAACCGUGGGCUGCGAUCGAAACUGAGUAUCUUGAGUGAAGGAGAGGCAGUUGGAAUUCCUAGUGUAGCGGUGGAAUGCGUAGAUAUUAGGAGGAACACCAGUGGCGAAGGCGGACUGCUGGACUUUUACUGACGCUGAGGCUCGAAAGCGUGGGGAGCAAACAGG